rnacentral:rRNA from 1 species
UACGUAGGGGGCAAGCGUUGUCCGGAUUUAUUGGGCGUAAAGAGCGUGUAGGCGGCCAUGUAGGUCCGUUGUGAAAACUCGAGGCUCAACCUCGAGACGCCGAUGGAAACCAUGUGGCUAGAGUCCGGAAGAGGAGAGUGGAAUUCCUGGUGUAGCGGUGAAAUGCGCAGAUAUCAGGAGGAACACCAAUUGCGAAGGCAGCUCGCUGGGACGUAACUGACGCUGAGACGCGAAAGCGUGGGGAGCAAACAGG